GACAGAGGGGGCAAGCGUUGCUCGGAAUCACUGGGCGUAAAGGGCGCGUAGGCGGGAUGGCAAGUCAGUCGUGAAAUCUCUCGGCUCAACCGAGAAACGUCGGCUGAUACUGCCGUUCUUGAGGGAUGCAGAGGAGACUGGAAUUCCCGGUGUAGCGGUGAAAUGCGUAGAUAUCGAGAGGAACACCUGCGGCGAAGGCGGGUUGCUGGGCUGACACUGACGCUGAAGCGCGAAAGCUAGGGGAGCGAACGGG
rnacentral:rRNA from 1 species